CGGGGCAGGAACUGGCAUGUUACCAAGUAUUAAUUAUGGUCCUGGAUUUUGAGAAUUCAGGGGCUGGAUUCCUACCAGCCAGUGGGGAAGUCACCGGGGAACAGAAAAGAGGAGAUGAAAGGAUUCCACAUACAUGGUGGAUCUAGUAUCAAGAAAACAUUAAUAAUGUAAGACAACCGGUUUCUUUUUGAACUCUUUUGAACUCAUCUCCUCUGAAACAAGUCCCCUGAUCCUGUCCCCUACGCACUCUGUCUGUUUUAAGGCCAAGACAAAGAUCCCUGAUUGAAAUUUCCAUUUGGAAUCCCCCCAUAAUAGAUUUCUAUUAUAAGC
rnacentral:lncRNA from 1 species